rnacentral:other from 1 species
UCUUUCCUGCUUGGUGCGUGUCGUGUCCUUUUGGACCCACAUUUUUUAAUCGGGAUGUUAGAUUUCCCUGCGGGAUUGCAGACCUCCCGCCCCCGCUGAGACGUGGGGCGGACGUUGGGAGCAGCGAACGCCGGGAGCGGCAACCCACCUGCCGUUUCGUGCAGGUCAUAAUCGGACGCGGUACGGCCAAAGCGGGUCCCCG